rnacentral:rRNA from 1 species
GGGGAAUAUUGCACAAUGGGCGAAAGCCUGAUGCAGCAACGCCGCGUGAGUGAAGAAGGUUUUCGGAUUGUAAAGCUCUGUCUUCUGGGACGAUAAUGACGGUACCAGAGGAGGAAGCCACGGCUAACUACGUGCCAGCAGCCGCGGUAAUACGUAGGUGGCAAGCGUUGUCCGGAUUUACUGGGCGUAAAGGAUGUGUAGGCGGAUAUUUAAGUGAGAUGUGAAAUCCCCGGGCUUAACUUGGGGGCUGCAUUUCAAACUGGAUGUCUAGAGUGCAGGAGAGGAAAGCAGAAUUCCUAGUGUAGCGGUGAAAUGCGUAGAGAUUAGGAAGAAUACCAGUGGCGAAGGCGGCUCUCUGGUCUGUAACUGACGCUGAGGCGCGAAAGCGUGGGGAGCAAAC